rnacentral:rRNA from 1 species
UUGAACGCUGGCGGCAUGCCUUACACAUGCAAGUCGAACGGCAGCACGGGAGCAAUCCUGGUGGCGAGUGGCGAACGGGUGAGUAAUACAUCGGAACGUGCCCAAUCGUGGGGGAUAACGCAGCGAAAGCUGUGCUAAUACCGCAUAAGAUCUACGGAUGAAAGCAGGGGAUCGCAAGACCUUGCGCGAAUGGAGCGGCCGAUGGCAGAUUAGGUAGUUGGUGAGGUAAAGGCUCACCAAGCCUUCGAUCCGUAGCUGGUCUGAGAGGACGACCAGCCACACUGGGACUGAGACACGGCCCAGACUCCUACGGGAGGCAGCAGUGGGGAAUUUUGGACAAUGGGCGAAAGCCUGAUCCAGCCAUGCCGCGUGCAGGAUGAAGGCCUUCGGGUUGUAAACUGCUUUUGUACGGAACGAAACGGCCUUUUCUAAUAAAGAGGGCUAAUGACGGUACCGUAAGAAUAAGCACCGGCUAACUACGUGCCAGCAGCCGCGGUAAUACGUAGGGUGCAAGCGUUAAUCGGAAUUACUGGGCGUAAAGCGUGCGCAGGCGGUUAUGUAAGACAGUUGUGAAAUCCCCGGGCUCAACCUGGGAACUGCAUCUGUGACUGCAUAGCUAGAGUACGGUAGAGGGGGAUGGAAUUCCGCGUGUAGCAGUGAAAUGCGUAGAUAUGCGGAGGAACACCGAUGGCGA